rnacentral:tRNA from 1 species
AAAACUUUAGUAUAUAUAGUAUUAUUCAUUGUCACUGAUUGGGAUUUUAAGUUUUA